rnacentral:rRNA from 1 species
GACGAACGCUGGCGGCGUGCUUAACACAUGCAAGUCGAACGGAAAGGCCCUGCUUUUGUGGGGUGCUCGAGUGGCGAACGAGUGAGUAACACGUGAGUAACCUGCCCUUGACUUUGGGAUAACUUCAGGAAACUGGGGCUAAUACCGGAUAGGAGCUCCUGCUGCAUGGUGGGGGUUGGAAAGUUUCGGCGGUUGGGGAUGGACUCGCGGCUUAUCAGCUUGUUGGUGGGGUAGUGGCUUACCAAGGCUUUGACGGGUAGCCGGCCUGAGAGGGUGACCGGCCACAUUGGGACUGAGAUACGGCCCAGACUCCUACGGGAGGCAGCAGUGGGGAAUAUUGCACAAUGGGCGGAAGCCUGAUGCAGCAACGCCGCGUGCGGGAUGACGGCCUUCGGGUUGUAAACCGCUUUCGCCUGUGACGAAGCGUGAGUGACGGUAAUGGGUAAAGAAGCACCGGCUAACUACGUGCCAGCAGCCGCGGUGAUACGUAGGGUGCGAGCGUUGUCCGGAUUUAUUGGGCGUAAAGGGCUCGUAGGUGGUUGAUCGCGUCGGAAGUGUAAUCUUGGGGCUUAACCCUGAGCGUGCUUUCGAUACGGGUUGACUUGAGGAAGGUAGGGGAGAAUGGAAUUCCUGGUGGAGCGGUGGAAUGCGCAGAUAUCAGGAGGAACACCAGUGGCGAAGGCGGUUCUCUGGGCCUUUCCUGACGCUGAGGAGCGAAAGCGUGGGGAGCGAACAGGCUUAGAUACCCUGGUAGUCCACGCUGUAAACGGUGGGUACUAGGUGUGGGGUCCAUUCCACGGGUUCCGUGCCGUAGCUAACGCUUUAAGUACCCCGCCUGGGGAGUACGGCCGCAAGGCUAAAACUCAAAGGAAUUGACGGGGCCCCGCACAAGCGGCGGAGCAUGCGGAUUAAUUCGAUGCAACGCGUAGAACCUUACCUGGGUUUGACAUGGAUCGGGAGUGCUCAGAGAUGGGUGUGCCUCUUUUGGGGUCGGUUCACAGGUGGUGCAUGGCUGUCGUCAGCUCGUGUCGUGAGAUGUUGGGUUAAGUCCCGCAACGAGCGCAACCCUUGUUCACUGUUGCCAGCACGUUAUGGUGGGGACUCAGUGGAGACCGCCGGGGUCAACUCGGAGGAAGGUGGGGAUGACGUCAAGUCAUCAUGCCCCUUAUGUCCAGGGCUUCACGCAUGCUACAAUGGCUGGUACAGAGAGUGGCGAGCCUGUGAGGGUGAGCGAAUCUCGGAAAGCCGGUCUCAGUUCGGAUUGGGGUCUGCAACCCGACCUCAUGAAGUCGGAGUCGCUAGUAAUCGCAGAUCAGCAACGCUGCGGUGAAUACGUUCCCGGG